GAACGGCAGCACGGGAGCAAUCCUGGUGGCGAGUGGCGAACGGGUGAGUAAUAUAUCGGAACGUGCCCAGUCGUGGGGGAUAACGCAGCGAAGGCUGUGCUAAUACCGCAUACGAUCUAUGGAUGAAAGCGGGGGAUCGCAAGACCUCGCGCGAUUGGAGCGGCCGAUAUCAGAUUAGCUAGUUGGUGGGGUAAAAGCCCACCAAGGCGACGAUCUGUAGCUGGUCUGAGAGGACGACCAGCCACACUGGAACUGAGACACGGUCCAGACUCCUACGGGAGGCAGCAGUGGGGAAUUUUGGACAAUGGGCGCAAGCCUGAUCCAGCAAUGCCGCGUGCAGGAUGAAGGCCUUCGGGUUGUAAACUGCUUUUGUACGGAACGAAACGGCGAACUCUAAUAAAGUUUGCUAAUGACGGUACCGUAAGAAUAAGCACCGGCUAACUACGUGCCAGCAGCCGCGGUAAUACGUAGGGUGCAAGCGUUAAUCGGAAUUACUGGGCGUAAAGCGUGCGCAGGCGGUUAUAUAAGACAGAUGUGAAAUCCCCGGGCUCAACCUGGGACCUGCAUUUGUGACUGUAUAGCUAGAGUACGGUAGAGGGGGAUGGAAUUCCGCGUGUAGCAGUGAAAUGCGUAGAUAUGCGGAGGAACACCGAUGGCGAAGGCAAUCCCCUGGACCUGUACUGACGCUCACGCACGAAAG
rnacentral:rRNA from 1 species